rnacentral:rRNA from 1 species
UACGUAGGGUGCAAGCGUUGUCCGGAAUUAUUGGGCGUAAAGAGCUCGUAGGCGGUUUGUUGCGUCGGCUGUGAAAUCCCGAGGCUCAACCUCGGGUCUGCAGUCGAUACGGGCAGACUAGAGUUCGGUAGGGGAGACUGGAAUUCCUGGUGUAGCGGUGAAAUGCGCAGAUAUCAGGAGGAACACCGGUGGCGAAGGCGGGUCUCUAGGCCGAUACUGACGCUGAGGAGCGAAAGCGUGGGGAGCGAACAGG